UUUGGCCACAUCAAUGUCAUAGAGCUUCCUCACAGCCUAUUUGAUCUAGUGCUUGUUGGCCUUGGCAUCCACAAUGAACAGCAGUGUAUUAUUGUCUUCUAUCUUCUUCAUGGCUGACUUGGUAGUCAGGGGGAAUUUGAUGAUGGCAUAGAUCGGAAGAGAAC